UACGUAGGGGUCGAGCGUUGUCCGGAGUUACUGGGCGUAAAGCGCAUGCAGGCGGCUCAUUACGCACGGCGUGAAAGCCCCCGGCUCAACCGGGGAGGGUCGUCGUGUACGGGUGAGCUUGAGGGUAUCAGGGGCUGGUGGAAUUCCCGGUGUAGUGGUGAAAUGCGUAGAGAUCGGGAGGAACACCUGUGGCGAAGGCGGCCAGCUGGGAUACACCUGACGCUGAGAUGCGAAGGCGUGGGGAGCGAAC
rnacentral:rRNA from 1 species